rnacentral:rRNA from 1 species
AUGAACGCUAGCGGCAGGCCUAACACAUGCAAGUCGAGGGGCAUCGGGAUUGAAGCUUGCUUCAAUUGCCGGCGACCGGCGCACGGGUGCGUAACGCGUAUGUAACCUACCUAUAACAGGGGCAUAACACUGAGAAAUUGGUACUAAUUCCCCAUAAUAUUCGGAGAGGCAUCUCUCCGGGUUGAAAACUCCGGUGGUUAUAGAUGGACAUGCGUUGUAUUAGCUAGUUGGUGAGGUAACGGCUCACCAAGGCAACGAUACAUAGGGGGACUGAGAGGUUAACCCCCCACACUGGUACUGAGACACGGACCAGACUCCUACGGGAGGCAGCAGUGAGGAAUAUUGGUCAAUGGACGCAAGUCUGAACCAGCCAUGCCGCGUGCAGGAAGACGGCUCUAUGAGUUGUAAACUGCUUUUGUACGAGGGUAAACUCACCUACGUGUAGGUGACUGAAAGUAUCGUACGAAUAAGGAUCGGCUAACUCCGUGCCAGCAGCCGCGGUAAUACGGAGGAUUCAAGCGUUAUCCGGAUUUAUUGGGUUUAAAGGGUGCGUAGGCGGUUUGAUAAGUUAGAGGUGAAAUCCCGGGGCUUAACUCCGGAACUGCCUCUAAUACUGUUAGACUAGAGAGUAGUUGCGGUAGGCGGAAUGUAUGGUGUAGCGGUGAAAUGCUUAGAGAUCAUACAGAACACCGAUUGCGAAGGCAGCUUACCAAACUAUAUCUGACGUUGAGGCACGAAAGCGUGGGGAGCAAACAGGAUUAGAUACCCUGGUAGUCCACGCAGUAAACGAUGAUAACUCGUUGUCGGCGAUACACAGUCGGUGACUAAGCGAAAGCGAUAAGUUAUCCACCUGGGGAGUACGUUCGCAAGAAUGAAACUCAAAGGAAUUGACGGGGGCCCGCACAAGCGGUGGAGUAUGUGGUUUAAUUCGAAGCAACGCGAAGAACCUUACCAGGCCUUGACAUCCCUUGCAGAGGUAUAGAGAUAUAUCCGAGGUUAUCAAGGAGACAGGUGGUGCAUGGUUGUCGUCAGCUCGUGUCGUGAGAUGUUGGGUUAAGUCCCGCAACGAGCGCAACCCCUGUACUUAGUUGCCAGCAUGUAGAGAUGGGAACUCUAAGUAGACUGCCGCGAAUAACGCGGAGGAAGGUGGGGAUGACGUCAAAUCAGCACGGCCCUUACGUCCGGGGCUACACACGUGUUACAAUGGUAGGUACAGAGGGUCGCUACCCCGCGAGGGGAUGCCAAUCUCGAAAGCCUAUCUCAGUUCGGAUUGGAGGCUGAAACCCGCCUCCAUGAAGUUGGAUUCGCUAGUAAUCGCGCAUCAGCCAUGGCGCGGUGAAUACGUUCCCGGGCCUUGUACACACCGCCCGUCAAGCCAUGGAAGCUGGGGGUGCCUGAAGUUCGUGACCGCAAGGAGCGACCUAGGGCAAAACCGGUAACUGGGGCU